GAUGAACGCUGGCGGCGUGCUUAACACAUGCAAGUCGAACGGAAAGGCUCCUGCUUGCAGGGGUACUCGAGUGGCGAACGGGUGAGUAACACGUGGGUGAUCUGCCCUGCACUUCGGGAUAAGCCUGGGAAACUGGGUCUAAUACCGGAUAGGACGAUGGUUUGGAUGCCAUUGUGGAAAGUUUUUCGGUGUGGGUUGAGCUCGCGGCCUAUCAGCUUGUUGGUGGGGUAAUGGCCUAUCAAGGCGUCGACGGGUAGCCGGCCUGAGAGGGUGUACGGCCACAUUGGGACUGAGGUACGGCCCAGACUCCUACGGGAGGCAGCGGGGGGGAAUAUUGCACAAUGGGAGCAAGCCUGAUGCAGCGACGCCGCGUGGGGGAUGACGGCCUUCGGGUUUUAAACUCCUUUCGCUAGGGACGAAGCGCAAGUGACGGUACCUGGAGAAGAAGCACCGGCUAACUACGUG
rnacentral:rRNA from 1 species